rnacentral:rRNA from 1 species
GAUGAACGCUGGCGGCGUGCCUAAUACAUGCAAGUCGAGCGAACAGAUGAGGAGCUUGCUCCUCUGACGUUAGCGGCGGACGGGUGAGUAACACGUGGAUAACCUACCUAUAAGACUGGGAUAACUUCGGGAAACCGGAGCUAAUACCGGAUAAUAUAUUGAACCGCAUGGUUCAAUAGAGAAAGACGGUUUUGCUGUCACUUAUAGAUGGAUCCGCGCCGCAUUAGCUAGUUGGUAAGGUAACGGCUUACCAAGGCAACGAUGCGUAGCCGACCUGAGAGGGUGAUCGGCCACCCUGGAACUGAGACACGGUCCAGACUCCUACGGGAGGCAGCAGUAGGGAAUCUUCCGCAAUGGGCGAAAGCCUGACGGAGCAACGCCGCGUGAGUGAUGAAGGUCUUCGGAUCGUAAAACUCUGUUAUUAGGGAAGAACAAAUGUGUAAGUAACUAUGCACGUCUUGACGGUACCUAAUCAGAAAGCCACGGCUAACUACGUG